UUGACCUCGGAUCAGGUAGGACUACCCGCUGAACUUAAGCAUAUCAAUAAGCGGAGGAAAAGAAACCAACAGGGAUUGCCCCAGUAACGGCGAGUGAAGCGGCAACAGCUCAGAUUUGGAAUCUGGCCCCCAGGGCCCGAGUUGUAAUCUGGAGAGGAUGCUUCUGGCGCGGCGCCUUCCGAGUUCCCUGGAACGGGACGCCGGAGAGGGUGAGAGCCCCGUACGGUUGGACGCCUAGCCUUUGUGAAGCUCCUUCGACGAGUCGAGUAGUUUGGGAAUGCUGCUCAAAAUGGGAGGUAAAUUUCUUCUAAAGCUAAAUACCGGCCAGAGACCGAUAGCGCACAAGUAGAGUGAUCGAAAGAUGAAAAGCACUUUGAAAAGAGGGUCAAACAGUACGUGAAAUUGUUGAAAGGGAAGCGCCCGUGGGCAGACUUGUGCCCCGCGGACCACCCGGCGCCCUUAGCGCCGGUGCACUCCGCGGGGCGCAGGCCAGCAUCGGUUUUCCUAGGGGGAUAAAGGCGGCGGGAA
rnacentral:rRNA from 1 species